AGUGGAAAGAGUUUCAUCUAUGGUCCUUGGGCCUCUUAUUAGUAUGUGGCAGCUUCAACAUAGAAAAGGAUAUAAACUGCAGAUAUGGUACCAUAGAAACAAACAGAUCCGUUGCCAUCCUCUCAUUCGGGACCUGCACUGUGAUUGAAGGAGUCCUUUAGGAAUAGAAUGAAUCACACUUCAUAACUAUUUACAGAGGAGAAGGAAGAAUAAGCUGAAUAUAGAAGAUGAGCACUGUGCAAACCAGUGGAAAGUGCUCCACUCCAGUGUGUGUUGAAAGAAGUCGAUACAUCCAGAGUGCUUUGAUAUGAGGUAGUUCAUAUGUCUUUGGAUCAGCACGACUUAAAGCAGCUCUCUUUAUAGAGCAGGUGUGUCCACAUUUUUCAAUAGUGGGCCUCAAGAUUAGAAAUUAACGCUGUACAUCCACAUUGAUUUUUACUGAAAACUGUGGCGUUUGAGAGUCUCCAUGUUUGGGGUGUAACUGCUGAACCUGACUUCAGGGUGAAUCAAAUGAUUAUGCAGCAUUUAUUCUUCUCUUUUGUUCUUUUAUCAGGAGUCUUCAUAAUGCUUCAUGUUUCA
rnacentral:lncRNA from 1 species